CCUGCUCGCUGCUCCUAUGAGAUGCCUGUGGAGUUCUGAGUCUGUGUGGCUAAAACCAUGAAGUUCUGAUUACCGGAACAGUGCUGGCUUGAUGGAAGAUCUGUCUGGAGAGGUCCUGACUCUGCCCAGCAGUUUAGUACCCAGUUAUACAGCCUGGGUCUCUCCACAGACCUGAGUGGAGGAGAAGCCCCCGUGGGAGUUUUGUUGCUUGCUGAUCCACUUCACAAUCUUGGAUGCUGUGGACAGGUCUGAUGAAGACAGGUCCCGUGUGGGCCGGGAAGACUCAGAGGUUAGAUAGGCGAGAAGCACGUAAGCUGUCAUCUCCACUUCGGCAGAAGGGGCCCGAGGUUGAUAGAAAGAUA
rnacentral:lncRNA from 1 species